rnacentral:rRNA from 1 species
UGGGGAAUAUUGCGGCAAUGGGGGGAACCCUGACGCAGCAACGCCGCGUGAAGGAAGAAGGUUUUCGGAUUGUAAACUUCAACAAACAGGGAAGAAAAAAUGACGGUACCUGUCUGAAGCCACGGCUAACUACGUGCCAGCAGCCGCGGUAAUACGUAGGUGGCAAGCGUUGUCCGGAUUUACUGGGUGUAAAGGGCGUGUAGGCGGGCGCUUAAGUCAGUGGUGAAAUACCGAAGCUCAACUUCGGGGCUGCCAUUGAAACUGGGUGUCUUGAGUGCCGGAGAGGAAAGCGGAAUUCCUAGUGUAGCGGUGAAAUGCGUAGAUAUUAGGAGGAACACCAGUGGCGAAGGCGGCUUUCUGGACGGUAACUGACGCUGAGGCGCGAAAAGCGUGG